UACGAAGGGGGCUAGCGUUGCUCGGAAUCACUGGGCGUAAAGCGCACGUAGGCGGUCUUUUAAGUCAGGGGUGAAAUCCUGGAGCUCAACUCCAGAACUGCCUUUGAUACUGGGAGACUUGAGUCCGGGAGAGGUGAGUGGAACUGCGAGUGUAGAGGUGAAAUUCGUAGAUAUUCGCAAGAACACCAGUGGCGAAGGCGGCUCACUGGACUGGUAUUGACGCUGAGGUACGGAAAGCGUGGGGAGCAAACAGGG
rnacentral:rRNA from 1 species